rnacentral:rRNA from 1 species
GACGAACGCUGGCGGCGUGCUUAACACAUGCAAGUCGAACGGAAAGGCCCUGCUUUUGCGGGGUGCUCGAGUGGCGAACGGGUGAGUAACACGCGAGUAACCUGUCCCUGACUUUGGGAUAACUUCAGGAAACUGGGGCUAAUACCGGAUAGGAGCUCCUGCUGCAUGGUGGGGGUUGGAAAGUUUCGGCGGUUGGGGAUGGACUCGCGGCUUAUCAGCUUGUUGGUGGGGUAGUGGCUUACCAAGGCUUUGGCGGGUAGCCGGCCUGAGAGGGUGACCGGCCACAUUGGGACUGAGAUACGGCCCAGACGCCUACGGGAGGCAGCAGUGGGGAAUAUUGCACAAUGGGCGGAAGCCUGAUGCAGCAACGCCGCGUGCGGAAUAACGUCCUUCUGGUUGUAAACCGCUUUCGCCUGAAACGAAGCGUGAUUGACGGUAAUGGGUAAAAAAGCACCGGCUAACUACGUG